rnacentral:lncRNA from 1 species
GAUUAUGGCGGAUGGGAGGCAGGACUACAUUGCAGCUCCAGAUAGAACAGCAUCUGGAGACUUGCACUGUGAAUUUUAGCGCCAGAUCAACUAAAAGAACAAAUCAGCAAUCCUGAGAGGACUCACAGACCCUCUGAAGGAAGCGGACUACUGCAGGACCUGGGAAACACCCUAAAUACUCUGCAGCAAGACCCGCCCAAGUAAAGUCUGAGCUCAGACACGCCUCGCCCUGCCCCAACCUGAUGGUCCUUCCCUAUCCACGCGGCAGCGGAAGACAAAAGGUAUAGAAUCUUGGGAGUUCUAGGGCCCCGCCCACUACCAGUCCCUCUCCACACUACUACAGCUGAUGCUUUCUAGAAAGCGCCACCUCCUGGCAGGAGGCCAACCAGUACAAGAGUAGAACAUUAAACCACCAAAGCUAAGGACCCUCAGGGAAUCCACCGAACUCUUCGCCACCUCCACCGGAACAGGCACUGGUAUCCACAGCUGAGAGACCCAUAGACGGUUCACAUCACAGAACUCUGAUGCGAACAGAGUGUCACAACCGCCAGUACCAGUCUGGAGCCGGGUAGACUUGCUGGGUGGUUAGAACCAGAAGAGAGACAACAAUCACUGCCGUUUGGCUCACAGGAAGCCACAUCCAUAGGAAAAGGAGGAGAGUACUACAUCAAGGCAACACCCCACUGGACAAAAGAAUCUGAACAACAGCCUUCGGCCUUAGACCUUCCCUCUGACAGAGCCUACCCAAAUGAGAAGGAACCAGAAAACCUGGUAAUAUGACAAAACAAGACUCUUCAACACCCUCCCCCCCCCCAAAAAAAAUCACACUAGUACACCAGCAAUGGAUCCAAACCAAGAAGAAAUCCCUGAUUUACCUGAAAAAGAAUUCAGGAGGUUACUUAUUAAGCUAAUUAGGGAGGGACCAGAGAAAGGUGAAGCCCAAUGCAAGGAAAUCCAAAAAAUGAUACAAGAAGUGAAGGGAGAAAUAUUCAAUGUAACAGAUAGCUUAAAGAAAACACAAUAAAAAAUUCAGGAAACUUUGGAUACACUUUUAGAAAUGUAAAAUGCUCCAGAAAGUCUCAGCAAUAAAAAUGAACAAGUAGAAGAGAAAAAUUCAGAGCUCAAAGACAAGGUCUUCGAAUUAACCCAAUCCAAUAAAGACAAAGAAAAAAGAAAAAGAAAAUAUGAACAAAGCCUCCAAGAAGUCUGGGAUUACAUUAAACAACCAAACCUAAGAAUAACCAGUGUUCCUGAGGAAGAAGAGAAUUCUAAAAGCUUGGAAAACAUAUUUGGGGGAAUAAUUGAGGAAAAUUCCCCAGCCUAGCUGGAGACCUAGACAUCCAAAUACAAGCAGCACAAAGAACAUCUGAGAAAUUCAUCACAAAAAGAUCUAGGCACGUUGUCAUCAGGUUAUCCAAAGUUAAGACAAAGGAAAGAAUCUUGAGAGCUGUGAGACAGAAGCACCAGGUAAACUAUAAAGGAAAACCUAUCAGAUUAACAGCAAAUUUCUCAGCAGAAACCCUAAAAGCUAGGAGGGAUUGGGGCCCUAUCUUCAGCCUCCUCAAACAAAACAAUUAUCAGCCAAGAAUUUUGUAUCCAGAGAAACUAAGUAUCAUAUAUGAAGGAAAGAUACAGUCGUUUUCAGACAAACAAGUGCUGAGAGAAUUCACCAUUACCAAGCCACCACUACAAGAACUGCUAAAAGGAUCUCUAAAUCUUGAAAGGAAUCCUGGAAACCAUGAAAACAGAACCUCUUUAAAGCAUAAAUUACACAGGACCUAUAAAACAAAAAUAUAAGCUAAAAAGCAAAAGCAAGAAACAAAACAAAAAAACAACACAAAGUCCACAGGCAACAAAGAGCACAAUGAACGCAAAGGUACCUCACAUUUAAAUACUAACACUGAAUGUAAAUGGCCUAGGUGCUCCACUUAAGAGAUACAGAACUGCAGAAUGGAUAAGAACUCACCAAGGAACUAUCUGCUGCCUUCAGGAUACUCACUUAACACAUAAGAACUCAUUGGAAAAAACCCUUCUAGAUAUUGGCUUAGGCAAAGAUAAAUAGCUGGGACUUAACUAAACUAAAGAGCUUUUGAAUGGCAAAAGGAACAGUCAGCAGAGUAAACAGAAAACCCACAGUGUGGGAGAAGAUCUUCACAAUCUAUACAUCUGAAAAAGGAGGAAUAUCCAGAAUCUACAGCGAACUCAAGCAAAUCAGUAAGUAAAAAACAAACAAUCCCAUCAAAAAGUAGGCUAAAGACAUGAAUAGACAGUUCUCAAAAGAAGAUAGACAAAUGGCAAAUAAACAGAUGAAAAAACGCUCAAUAUCACUAAUGAUCAGGGAAAUACAAAUCAAAAGCACAAUGUGAUACCACCUUACUCCUGCAAGAAUGGCCAUAAUCAAAAAAUCAAAAAACAGUAGAUGUCGGUGUGGAUGCUGUGAACAGGGAACACUUCUACACUGCUGGGUUGAAUGUAAACUUGUACAGUCACUAUAGAAAACAGUGUGGAGAUUCCUUAAAGAACUAAAACUAGAACUACCAUUUGAUCCAUCAAUCCCACUACUGAGUAUCUACCCAGAGGAAAAGAAGUCAUUAUUCGAAAAAGAUACUUGCACACGCAUGUUUAUAGCAACACAAUUCACAAUUGCAAAAUUGUGGAACCAACCCAAUUGCCCAUCAAUCAAUGAGUGGAUAAAGAAACUGUGAUAUAUAUAUCUGCAUUUAAUAUAUAUCUAUGUGUGUGUGUGUGAUGUCAUCUGCAUUGUAUAUAUAUUAUAAUACAUUAUAUAUUAUGUAAUCUGAAUUAAAUAUAUAUGAUAUAAUGCAUUUAUAUAUCUGAUGGAAUACUACGCAGCCAUAAAAAGAAUGAAGUAACGGCAUUUGCAGUGACCUGGAUGAGACUGGAGACUACUAUUCUAAGUGAAAUAACUCAGGAAUAGAAAACCAAACAUCAUAUGUUCUCACUGAUAUGUGGGAGCUAAGCUAUGGGGAUGCAAAGGCAUGAUGCAGUGGACUUUGGGAACAUGGGUGAAAGAGUAGGAGGGGGCGAGGGAUAAAAUACUAUAAAUAUCAUGCAGUGUAUACUGCUUGGGUGAUGGGUGCAUCAAAAUCUCAUAAAUCACCACUAAAGAAGUUACUCAUGUAAUCAAAUACCACCUGUACCCCAAUAACUAAUGGAAAAAUAAAAAUAAAAAUAAAAUAAAAUAAUAAAAGAGUCAAUGAAUUAUACAUCUAAGCAAAGAACUGACUCAGAAAUGUGACUAGGACCAUUUAGGAUCUAGAGAAUGUUAUGAACUC